rnacentral:rRNA from 1 species
CCUACGGGUGGCUGCAGUAGGGACUAUUGGGCAAUGGACGCAAGUCUGACCCAGCCACGCCGCGUGAAGGAUGACUGCCCUAUGGGUUGUAAACUUCUUUUGUAUGGGAAGAAACCUCCGAACGUGUUCGGAGCUGACGGUACCAUAAGAAUAAGCAUCGGCUAACUCCGUGCCAGCAGCCGCGGUCAUACGGAGGAUGCAAGCGUUGUCCGGAUUCAUUGGGUUUAAAGGGGGCAUAUACGGAGGAUUAGAAAGCUUGCAGCUUAACUUUGAAAAUGCCAUUGAAACUGAUUUUCUUGAGUUCGAUUGAGGUAGAUGGAAUGUAUCAUGUAGCGGUGAAAUGCUUAGAUAUGAUACAGAACACCAAUUGCGAAGGCAGUCUACUAAGUCGAUACUGACGCUGAGGCACGAAAGCAUGGGGAGCAAACAGGAUUAGAUACCCCAGUAGUC